AUGCAAGUCGAGCGGAAACGAAGAGGUGCUUGCACCUCUGGCGUCGAGCGGCGGACGGGUGAGUAAUGCUUGGGAAUAUGCCUUAUGGUGGGGGACAACAGUUGGAAACGACUGCUAAUACCGCAUAAUGUCUACGGACCAAAGUGGGGGACCGUCGGGCCUCACGCCAUAAGAUUAGCCCAAGUGGGAUUAGCUAGUUGGUGAGGUAAUGGCUCACCAAGGCGACGAUCCCUAGCUGGUUUGAGAGGAUGAUCAGCCACACUGGGACUGAGACACGGCCCAGACUCCUACGGGAGGCAGCAGUGGGGAAUAUUGCACAAUGGGCGCAAGCCUGAUGCAGCCAUGCCGCGUGUGUGAAGAAGGCCUUCGGGUUGUAAAGCACUUUCAGUAAGGAGGAAAGGUUAAGUGUUAAUAGCACUUAGCUGUGACGUUACUUACAGAAGAAGCACCGGCUAACUCCGUGCCAGCAGCCGCGGUAAUACGGAGGGUGCGAGCGUNAAUCGGAAUUACUGGGCGCAAAGCGUA
rnacentral:rRNA from 1 species